rnacentral:tRNA from 4 species
CGGGUGUAGCUCAAUGGUAGAGCUCCAGCUUCCCAAGCUGGCUACGUGGGUUCGAUUCCCAUCACCC